rnacentral:lncRNA from 1 species
UGGGAACAAACUUCCUAAGUCAUAUUCAUAUGCUUUGGCCAAAGACUUUAGAAUCAUAUCUUAGAGUAUUCUCCUUCCACCAUGGAAGGUUAGAGAUCCCUUGUUGUGCAUUCAUAUGCCUACAUGACUAGAUAGCUUGACCCCAACAAUGCCGUGGACAAUCUGAAGGAAUGCCAUUGACAUGAUCAAAGAUCAAGGACCUAACCAUUAGACAUAUAUGAUGCCUCAGGUCAAAGGACUACUUUGCAUAUUGCAACUUUAGAGUUCAUACAUGACAUGUAUGUUCGAACUCUCUUUUGAUCGACGUUCAGUGUACUCGAUUACUUUUUCGAGCACCUAUGUGUUUGUCUCAAUGUCCAACACCAAAUGACUUGAGACUAGUUCACACUCACGUUUGAGUCAACAUAACACAUACGAACCUUAGCGGAUUGUCAAUGCCCAAUUGGCAAUCCUAUGGCUAGGAACGUUUUAGGAAUGAACAUAAGAGAGAGGUCUCGACAACUAACUCAUUAGAUCACUUCUCUCUUAGAACAAAUACAUUCCUUGGAUUCCCUUAUUGCUUAAACACAUGAUACAAUAAAUAGUGAUUAACAAUAAGCUUUGCCCUUCAUUAUACAUAUAAAAGUUUAAUACAAUAAGUAUUCCAAAAGCUAUUACAUCAAAUGAGUGGCUUUGUGGGCAUACUUCCAACAGUCACUUCAAACACAAUGAUCAAGAUCACUCUUGAUUCAAUUAGUAGUUUUUGAACAACUAAUUGGGCAUUCUUAAAAUUGUUUUAAAAUGUCAAUUUUGUUAAUGAUUAAACCAAGAAAGAAGUGUCUAAAUCUAUAAAAUGUUUAAAGACUUUAGUCACUUAAAUAACAAGACAUUAAACUUAGUGAAGAUUGAAACAAAUAAGCUUGAAAUGUUUUAAAGCUACUACACAAUGUCUUCUACCAAUAUACACCACUUUUAUACAUUUUGAAUGUAUGAAAUGAUUUCUCAUUAAAGUCAUGAGAAAUAGUGGGAGGUGUGAAAAUGGAUAUAAAUGAGUAUGAUUGGUUUAUAGUUGUCUAAAGAAUAAUAGUACUCGACUAUUAUUAAGAGUUUGUAAUUUUAAUUGUUAAAAGACUCAAGCUCUUCAAACGUUAAAAUUAUGUGUUGUGAGACAUUCUAAAGAAUAGUCUUUGAAUGUUGGUUUCGUCAACCUAGCAUAAAAUGGUUAUAUGUUGGGAGUUGUUCAUCAUUCUCUUUUAUGAGAACAAGCUAAAUAACUAAGCAUAUGGACAAGUUGAUGAAACAAAAGGGAAAUAGUUUCAAAAUGAGUCACAACAUAUGAUUUAACAAUAAGACAAUCCAAAUUCUACAUCUCAUGUAACAAUAUUGCUCUAUGUAGUUUUGAUAAAGAAUUAUAUCAACCACCUAGAAGGAAUGGUUGAGUUUCUAUAUCCUUAGUAGGAGCCAUGCUUCACUAAAGACUUGGAUAAUUCUUAUAUGACUACAUUAAAGGUCUUAGUAUGACUAAAACUUGAAGUAUGGUGUAUGACACCAUAUAAGUUAAAUGAAUAGACUUGAUAAAACAAGUCACACAUUUCAAAAUGGAAUUACUUGAGAAGGAAUUCUUUUGUGUAUGAUUCAUUUAAAUAACUUGUGUUGGCUAAGGGUUGUUGAUAGUCUCAAAAUAGUUGAGACAUCAUCAAUAAGCUAAUGGAUCUAAAUGAUUGUCAAUAGAUUCAAGACAAGUUAAUGGGAGCAAUAUGCAUUCAAAUCAAGAAAAUAUAAUUGUUAAAUUUUGAAUGAAUGCUAAGUUACAACAAGGCCAGUGGGAGUGAUGUCAUAAUUUGAGCAACAAGAUGUGAAUAAAGUCUAUUUGAUAGACUUGAUAAAACAUAAUUGUUACUCGAGAAAUGACAAAACAUGACAUGGUCAAUUUUGAAGUAUAGACUUGAAAUUGGACUUAUUGAUAUAGCAAGGCUAUCUCAAUGAUGUUAUAUGGGAAUUAAAUCUCAAAUGUUGAAGAUUUAAGAAAGCAUUUUCCUAUGUGAUAGAAAAUCACUUUCAUAACCCUUAUAAUGAAUGUGUCACAAAAUCACAAAAGGGACACAUGUAUGGACUUGUGAAGUAGAUAUCCAAAGGUGAAGAACCACAGAGUUUGUCACUUUAAGAUAUUACUAUAUCCCAGGAUCAGAACCAAAGCAACUGAUAGAGUAUUAUUGCCUUUAAGAAAGAAACAUCAGAGUGGGACUCUGGAAGCGUGCAUUCACUUAGGUUAUUAACCAAAGUGAAAAAUAAGCCAUUUUAACAAAUGGAACUUCAUAAUGGAUGAAGUACUAAUCAUAUGAAUGUAUUGUUAGUAUUGUACUACAAUGGUCUCAAGGUUGGAGCAAAGUUUGUAUAAAGUAUACACAAGAAAUAUAUGACGAUAUAUUGUUUUAGAAACUGCUUCAAAAGGUGUUUUGAAUGAAGUGGUUCUUAUAGAACCAAUGAUUGAAUCCAAACCAUAAGGUCGUUAGUAGGAUACUACGACGUAAUGGGGCGAUAGCUCAAGCCAUGGAAUCAAGGUCUCAUCAAAGUAUUCAAACACAAGGAAGAGACAUCAUCAAAUGUUUUGGAAAAAUUUGAUAAGUAAAUCCCUUUUAAAUAAUAAAAGGGAUUAAUACAUAACCGAGUUAACCUACGAGCAUAAGCUCUCUCAACUAGCAUGUAUAAGAUACACGGGUGAUUGACUUUAGUGCAAGUGGGAGAUUGUUGGAAAUAUGCCCUCAAAGUCAAUCUUUGGAAAAAACCUUUCAGGACAAAUGAAUGGAUGUAUAGAUGAUUCUUAUACAUCAAAUGGCAAAGAUACUAAUUAGGACUAUCUCAAUAAAUGAUAUAUGUCCUAAAUAGUGAAUCCAUGGACAAUGGAUCGAUUGAAGAAGUAAUCUAAUGAUGUUAGACUACAGAGACCUUCUUCACAUAACCAUAAUGUCCAAAAAGGUUCUUGGUCAUUGGAUUGUCGGAGGGAUACUGACAAUGCUUAGACUGGUAUAUACUGUGUCUGCUUCAAAUGGAAGGAUGGAAAGUCUCAUCCCAUUCGUGUGGUGACACUAAGACAAGUAUGUAGGUGCUCAUUAAGGGAAUGAGUUCACUGAACACAAUCGAAUGAGAGUACUUGCAUGGAGGUCUACUCACAUGUCAAGCAAGUAACUCUAAUGGUUGGAAUAAUGUAAGUAGUCCUUUGACCUGAGGCAUCGUUGUUGUCUUGUGGCUAAGUACUUAAUCUUUGAUUAUGUCAAAGUCACCCCAUUCGUGGGUGUCCACGGCAUAAUUGGAGUUAAGCCACUUAUUCAUGAAGGCAAGUGAAUGCGCAACAAGGAAUCUCUAAUCCUCGAUAAGAGAUUCAGAAUACUCUAAGAUAUGAUUCGGGAAUCUUAGGCCGCAGUAUCGAGCGUAAUAAAGGAAAGCGUUCCUAUGCGACUCAAUUGAAUCAUAUAAGAAGGAAUAAUCACAUUAGGGGUUUGACAUGAUAUAUCCAUACCCUAGUAAUGUGAUUGAGAAUAUUGUUUUAGAGAAGGAUCGAAUUACAUUGUAAUUCCAACUGAAUAGGUUCUCCGAACAACUUCUACAUUAGCUUUGGUAGCUAUGAUAUAUGGUUGGAUGUCACUCAUAGCUUGUGAGUUCUUCUAGAUGAUUAAAUGUAGUCAUCAAAGAAGAAGGUGAAUUAAAAGGAAGUUUUAAUUCACUAAGUGAUUGAAUUAAAUAUAAUCAAUUGGAUUGAUGUCAAUCACCUCACUACCUUGCUAAUUAGAACCUAAAAUGAUUGUACACCGAUACACUCUUGUGGUGAGUAAUUAAUGUAUGAUGGAAAUAAUUAAUUGGAUUAAUUAAGUGUUGUGAUUAAUUUAGAAAGUCUAAAGAAAUCAUAAAAGCGAUAAAGAUCGUUUUGGGCUUAAAGUAACGUUCGGGUUUUAUUGGACCCAUUAGGCCUAAACCCAUUGGGCUUUUAUUCAAGCAUAGGAUGACUUGAAAUAAUAAAAGCCCAAAGCCCAAACCAAA